rnacentral:rRNA from 1 species
ACCUGCGGAGGAUCAUUAC